GGUUUUGUCCUGCUUUAGCUGGUGUCCUUCAGAUAUGUCCCUGCCUCACUUUAGCUUUUCCUCCAAGGUCACCCCAAUCCCUCUUUGUAUGUUUGUUCUGUAUUUAUAUAUCUCAUCUAGUAUUAAUUAACUUGAAUUUAGCACACUGCACAGCAUUUUUGACAACUACAUAUGACAUAUUUCUGGCAUAUAAGUCCAACUUCAGGACCUCGGUAUGGCUUUGUUUCCUGUGCACACAAAGGCUUACUCCCUGUUGUAAACUUUUUAUAACAGUGGCUUUUUUCUCUGAUGAUAGUAUUAACACUCACCAGUUUCUCUUACUACUUACGGCUCCACACCUACUAAAUUUCUCUCAAGUUCUUAUUUUUAACCUGUUUUCUGUCUUGGUUUGUUUGUUCUGUGUCUUAGUUUAAUGGAGGUUGACUUUGGCUUAUGGAUUCUGGUAUUCCAAGGUCAAAACUGCACCUGUGUUUGUCUUGCUAGCACAGUCCUGAGGCAGCCCAGAACAGCACAAGGUCUGAAGACAGAGAACAUAGAUGUGUCGUGGUCUCUCUCCGGUCUUACUAAGCCAAUGAUGGGCUCUUCACUCAGAAGAUACCAUGUAAUUUUAUUUAACUCACUGGGUCCUAUUAGCGCUGCCCAUAUGCAUAUGAAUGUGACACCACUAACUGGAGUACGGGGAACCUACUGGUGAUCACACUCUACAGAAUUGUGACUCCAUCCCUUAGCAGCUAUCACUUGCAGUUCUGCAGCUCCCCAGUCCAUGCUGGAACUUCUAACUGGCUCGAUCUCGCACAGAUCUUGUGUAGGUUGCCACAGCUGCUGUGGGCUCAUGUGUAUAACACCAUGUUAUGUCCAGAGGACAGCAUUUCUCAGCACUCCUCCUCAUCGUCCAGCUCCUACAUUCUGUGCAAUGUUGUCCAAGCCGGGGGGCGGGGGAGGGGGCAGUGAUAUUGAGGUCCUCUCUAUGGCUGAGCUCUUGAAAUCAUUUAUUCUCAGCAUUUUGGACAGUACUGUGUCACUGUAUUAACCACUACCCACUGCAAAAAGAAGCUUGUCUGCCCAAGGUUAGGAGCUGCACAGGUCAUGGCUGUUACACUGGGAGCAGCACAGGUCAUGGCUGUUCACUGGGAGCAGCACAGGUCAUGGCUGUUCACUGGGAGCAGCACAGGUCAUGGCUGUACAUUGGGAGCAGCACAGGUCAUGGCUGUUCACUGGGAGCAGCACAGGUCAUGGCUGUACAUUGGGAGCUGCACAGGUCAUGGCUGUUCACUGGGAGCAGCACAGGUCUAUGGCUGUUCACUGGGAGCUGCACAGGUCAUGGCUGUUCACUUAGACACUUUGCAGGCAGUUUGGUGAUCGAUGUCACUUAAUGCUGAUCACUUCUCAAAGUCCUCACUUCUUAGCAUCAUAAUUUGAUGGCAUUUCUAGCCUCACAAUGGAGGCUUAACUUCAACAGGAUGAUGUUACAAACCACCACUGAGUGGGUAGCUCACAAACAACAGAAAUGUAUUUUUCUCAAGUCUAAACCAUGAGAAUUCCAAGAUCAAAGCACCCGUGUGUGUGUGGGGGGGGGCAAGGGCCCACUUCCAGGAGGUGGUUUCCUGUCACUCUAUUUCUUCAUGGCAGAAGGUUGAGGCCCUUGAACCUCUUCAUAAAGGCAGCAAUCCCGCAGGCAGACUCUGCAGGCCCCACUCCCAGCUCCAUUAGAUUGCUAGUCAAGUUAUGACACAUAAAUAAACUCAAGGAGGGUCAAGGUCAGCCUGGAUCA